UCGAUCAGCUCACUUCCUGUUUCAAGAAAACACAUUCUAUUGGCUACACAGACACACACGGUUGUACCUGUAGGAAGCGUGUGACGUCCGCAAUGACGUUCCUGAAGACAUAGUCGUCUUUCUGACAGUCGAACCAGCCAAGCUUGGUGAUCCUGGAGGAGACAAACACAAGGAGAGAAUAACUCACAUGGAAGACAGAGGAAGAGAGAGGAUGAGAGGGGAGAGGAGAGAGGUUUACCUGGAGUACAGCUGGAUCAGAGCCUGGGUUCAAAUCAACCCAAGAUGAACACUGAAGAUGGAACAAGGUGCAUGACAAGGUGGCCCAGAGGAAGCCAGCUGUUCUCAACCACUACAUUGCCCCAUUCUUCCAAGAGCUCACAGAGUUUGAAUGAAGACCUCUGGUGAGGGGUGAGAAGAGCUGACAAAUCCAAACUGAGGAUGAUUGUUCCGGAGCCCCAUGAGGAACACCUGAAACUGUGCUGACUUCUCUCUUCUGUCCAAACGGUCUCGUUGUAUGUUUCACUGCCUCUUACCCCAAAUAGAGUUGCCUCUGAUAGAUCUAGGAUUGUACCAUAUCCCAAUUUUAACUCCUUCUCCCCCCCUUGUCUCUCCCUCCACAGCACACCCCAAAUAUAAUUUUUAAAUUAGUGUGGUAAUGAUGCUCUUAUUUAGUUACACGUGUUAACUGUUGUUACUUCUAUUGCCAAUUCUGUUGUUAAUU